GAUGAACGCUAGCGGGAGGCCUAACACAUGCAAGCCGAGCGGUAGAGAUUCUUCGGAAUCUUGAGAGCGGCGUACGGGUGCGGAACACGUGUGCAACCUGCCUUUAUCAGGGGGAUAGCCUUUCGAAAGGAAGAUUAAUACCCCAUAAUAUAUUUGAUGGCAUCAUUAGAUAUUGAAAGCUUUGGCGGAUAGAGAUGGGCACGCGCAAGAUUAGAAAGUUGGUGAGGUAACGGCUCACCAAGUCGAUGAUCUUUAGGGGGCCUGAGAGGGUGAUCCCCCACACUGGUACUGAGACACGGACCAGACUCCUACGGGAGGCAGCAGUGAGGAAUAUUGGACAAUGGGUUAGCGCCUGAUCCAGCCAUCCCGCGUGAAGGACGACGGCCCUAUGGGUUGUAAACUUCUUUUGUACAGGGAUAAACCUACUCUCGUGAGAGUAGCUGAAGGUACUGUACGAAUAAGCACCGGCUAACUCCGUG
rnacentral:rRNA from 1 species